UACGUAGGGUGCAAGCGUUAAUCGGAAUUAUUGGGCGUAAAGGGCUCGUAGGCGGUUUGUCGCGUCGGGAGUGAAAUCCACUGGCUUAACUGGUGGCUUGCUUUCGAUACGGGCAGACUGGAGGUAUGCAGGGGAGAACGGAAUUCCUGGUGUAGCGGUGAAAUGCGCAGAUAUCAGGAGGAACACCGGUGGCGAAGGCGGUUCUCUGGGCAUUACCUGACGCUGAGGAGCGAAAGUGUGGGGAGCGAACAGG
rnacentral:rRNA from 1 species